rnacentral:rRNA from 1 species
AACGAACGCUGGCGGCAGGUUUAACACAUGCAAGUCGAACGCGCCCUUCGGGGCGAGUGGCAGACGGGUGAGUAACGCGUGGGAACCUACCUUUUGGUACGGAAUAACUCAGGGAAACUUGAGCUAAUACCGUAUGUGCCCUUCGGGGGAAAGAUUUAUCGCCAAAGGAUGGGCCCGCGUCGGAUUAGCUAGUUGGUGGGGUAAUGGCCUACCAAGGCGACGAUCCGUAGCUGGUCGGAGAGGAUGAUCAGCCACACUGGGACUGAGACACGGCCCAGACUCCUACGGGAGGCAGCAGUGGGGAAUAUUGGACAAUGGGGGCAACCCUGAUCCAGCCAUGCCGCGUGAGUGAUGAAGGCCUUAGGGUUGUAAAGCUCUUUCGCCGGUGAAGAUAAUGACUGUACCAGCAGAAGAAGCCCCGGCUAACUCCGUGCCAGCCGCCGCAGUAACAC